rnacentral:rRNA from 1 species
GAUGAACGCUAGCUACAGGCUUAACACAUGCAAGUCGAGGGGCAGCAUGGUCUUAGCUUGCUAAGGCCGAUGGCGACCGGCGCACGGGUGAGUAACACGUAUCCAACCUGCCGUCUACUCUUGGACAGCCUUCUGAAAGGAAGAUUAAUACAAGAUGGCAUCAUGAGUCCGCAUGUUCACAUGAUUAAAGGUAUUCCGGUAGACGAUGGGGAUGCGUUCCAUUAGAUAGUAGGCGGGGUAACGGCCCACCUAGUCUUCGAUGGAUAGGGGUUCUGAGAGGAAGGUCCCCCACAUUGGAACUGAGACACGGUCCAAACUCCUACGGGAGGCAGCAGUGAGGAAUAUUGGUCAAUGGGCGCAGGCCUGAACCAGCCAAGUAGCGUGAAGGAUGACUGCCCUAUGGGUUGUAAACUUCUUUUAGAAAGGAAGAAAGUCGGGUAUGUAUACCCGUUUGCAUGUACUUUAUGAAUAAGGAUCGGCUAACUCCGUG